rnacentral:rRNA from 1 species
GACGAACGCUGGCGGCGUGCUUAACACAUGCAAGUCGAACGGAAAGGCCCUGCUUUUGUGGGGUGCUCGAGUGGCGAACGGGUGAGUAACACGUGAGUAACCUGCCCUUGACUUUGGGAUAACUUCAGGAAACUGGGGCUAAUACCGGAUAGGAGCUCCUGCUGCAUGGUGGGGGUUGGAAAGUGUCGGCGGUUGGGGAUGGACUCGCGGCUUAUCAGCUUGUUGGUGGGGUAGUGGCUUACCAAGGCUUUGACGGGUAGCCGGCCUGAGAGGGGGACCGGCCACAUUGGGACUGAGAGACGGCCCAGACUCCUACGGGAGGCAGCAGGGGGGAAUAUUGCACAAUGGGCGGAAGCCUGAUGCAGAGACGCCGCGUGCGGGAUGACGGCCUUCGGGUUGUAAACCGCUUUCGCCUGUGACGAAGCGUGAGUGACGGUAAUGGGUAAAGAAGCACCGGCUAACUACGUG